AUGUUGCGGAGGAGCCCGAAUGCCGGCGCGAGACCCGGCUGGUCGCCGCGGCAGGACUCCAGGAAGUCCUUGACGCAGCCGAGCGCGCCUUCUUGGAAAGCCUCGACCUUGAACCUCUGCCCCUCGUCGCCAUCGCUGGCCGUCAAGUUCUGGAGGCAGCCAAGCGCGAGCUCCUGCGUCCGCGGCGUGCCGAGUGAGACGAGCUGCACGAUCAGCGGGAGCGCGCCCUCGUCGCGGAACGCGGGGAGCAGGUCCGGGAACGCGGCGAUGUUCCGGAGCACGCCCGCGGCGGCGGCCUGCGACGCCGGGGUGCCGGCGGCGCAAGCCACGAGGAGCGCGGCCACGCCGCCGCGCGCCGAGACGGCCGCCGCCGCGUCCCGUGACGAGGCGGUGAGCGGCUCCAGGGCAACGCACGCCUGCUCAGCGCUGGCACCGCCGGACUCCAGCGCGCGGCAGAGGUGGGGCACGACGGUGCCUGACUCCUGGGCCAGGAACAGGCAGCCGGCGUCGGAGGACGCGAAGGCGGCGAGCACGGACACGGCCUUGUCGCGCGAAGCCGGGAGGAGGUCGCCGGAGUCGAGCAUCGCGGCGACCGCGGAGACGGCGGCGGCGGAGUGCGACGCCGGCAGGGAACCGACGGACUCGGCGAGCGAGUCCAGCGCCGCGGCGCGGGAGACGGCGGAGCCAAGCCGGAGGCGGGGUAGCAGGCUAUCCGAUCCGCCACCUUCGCCCCCGGCCGGGGAUGGGGAGACGAGCAGGCGCGCGUCGGCCGCGAGCUGGGAGAGCGAGGCGGCGGAGGAGGAGAGGAGCGAGACGGUGUGGAGGUGGCCGAGGGGAGGGCCGCCGCAGACGGAGAGGAGGGCCUCGAGGGCGGAGGCGAGGGGAGAGAGGAGCGGCGCGGAGGGCGGGAAGGCGGGGUGGGAGAGGGAGGCGGAGAGCGAGGAGACGGAGGCGGAGAUGGAGGGCCAGUGGCGGCGGAAGGCCGGGGAGGAAGCGGCCGCGGCGGGGAGCUCGGCCAGGAGGCGGAGGCACUCCGCGAGCGCGUCGCCGGUGGCCGGCGGCGGUUGCAUGGUGUGGUGGACUGGAGGGGAGGGGAGGCAGAAACGGAAUGGGAGGGGGGAGGGAACUGAAAUGCCGAAAUGCUGGGCGCGUGUAGUGCGAAAUUGCGCUGGAUCUGCGCGCCACUAG
rnacentral:rRNA from 1 species